rnacentral:ncRNA from 2 species
ACUUGGCGGCGGUUUUCUGGUGCUCGCGCGCGGUGUCUGCUGCGCGCAGUUAAACGGGAAGCAGGAAGCGUUGCCGGAUCCUCGGCCGUGCCAACCUGCGCUGCCCCCGCAACGGUCAAGCGAAAAUCGCGUGGCGUGGUUUUACCCAGUUUUCCCCUACCUCGCGCGGUAAAGCCGGCUUCAAAAGACCACUGCAUGCCUAUGUCAUGCGGGAAGGUGAAGCGGCAUUUUCGUCAGCCCGGAUACCGGCCGGAACGAAUCAACACCU